rnacentral:lncRNA from 1 species
ACGCCCGCGCUGCUCAGCGCUACCGCUUCCCCGCAACUGUGCGGAGUGGGAGCCGGUGCCCGGUCCGACCGGCUUGGGCGGCGCGCCUUCACCCGGCGCCAGGUCCGGACCCCUCCCUAGUAGCUUCGCGGCCUCCCUGCCUCCUGUGCGCGGCCUGGCUCGGAGAGGUCGGGCGGGCAGGCUUUCCCGACUGCAGGCGAGGCAGUGCGCGGCUCACCCCAGUCCCCGACCCACGUGAAGCGUACAGGGCAUUUUAUUAACCGGGAAGGACGGUGCGGAAGAGCGAGCAGGACGCCUCUUCACCCCGCGUAGGCAGUGUCGUCGUUGCUGUCACUAAAGGCGGAGGAAGAGAGCUCUUCGCGGGGCGUGCAGACCGGGCACCGCUGCCGCAUGUCGUCCCAGCACGACCAGCAGUACACGGCCUCGCAGUCCAGCGUCCGGCACACGUAGGACUCGGGCGUCUCGGGUGCCUGGCACACCACGCAGCGCCGGCACAGCCAGCGGCGCAGGAGCGGGCAGCCGCGGUGCAGGAUAUCCGCCAGCGGGUGGCGCUGUUGGGAGGUGAGAAAACUGAUGCUUGGAGAUGUGAUCACUGCCCAGGGUCACCCAAUGAUAACAUGCAUGCAUAUG